rnacentral:lncRNA from 1 species
GUGCCCUGUUUGCUGUUCCAUAAGGUGAGAUUUGCAGCUGUACUUCCUGUUCAUCAUUGCCUAGCCGGCUAUUCAGUCAGCCCUCUGGCUACUUCCUGGCAGUCAGUAAUACUGGGUUUAAUUUUCCAGGGGGAACACAUCAUUUUAGAAGAUGUUCUGCACCCCAAAAAUACCUUCAUCUGCUUAUAUAUUGCACAGAAUGGCAUGUCUGCUCUUGCUGGUUUUUCACCGUGACAGUCCAAGCUCUUCAUGCUGCCUUGUGGUUGAACAGCAUUGAGAAAACACCAUUGGUAACCAGAACUGAGAGCACCAGCAAGUACAGCUGCUCCACUUGUGAGCAGUCCACAGCCACUUGUCCACUGGCUCCUGCUGAAAAGAUGCCCUUUUUCUUUCUCACUGAGCUGUGAAACAGAGGUCCUGACUGUCUACAGCCAUGAAAAAUCCCAUGACUCUCCAAGUGUCAGAGACUGGAGACUUAAAAAAAUUGAUGUCAUAUCACUGCUUUCUGCUGCCUUAACAAUUAUAUUCCUUCUGAACCAUCUUAGCCUAACUGCUGGGGAGUCCCACUGUCAGGAUUACACAGAUGUUUUAUUUCCUGCUAAAGAAAGCACAUUUCUAGUCUUUAUAAGGAGAUAUGUACAGGACUCAUCAAGCAGCCUUCCCUAUUGAAGUGCAUCUUCUGUUUAAACAGCCAAUAUUCUGCUUGCACAGCAUAUGGGGCUAGAAGCAAAGACCUUGCCCUUGGAGCUGCACUGUGCUCACGAGCUUUGCUCAUCACAAUCAGUUGUAAAGGUUGUUGAAGUGCAAUCCCAAUAACAACAAUUUGCAUUUCAUACUUUUGAAGACCUCUCCUUGAAGGGAGUGUGGUGCCUCUCCUCCAGCACGCAUAACGGUGUGGGCGGAGCAAGCUGCUUCCAGAGGCUGCCUUGCCUCUGGAAAGUGCUGCUGAGCCAUCCCGGUGACACCAUGUGCUGUCUCAGGUGGCAGGCGUGGGCAGUGCCUCUCUCCCACCCACUGACUUGGGAUCCUCCCGCAGGCCAGCCCAUCUUCCACAGAAGCUGCAGCGCUCUGAGGAGCAAGAUCACUGAAAUGAGCUGUUUGUUCUUGCAAGCUGCCAGCAGAGGAUGUCUGCAGUCUGGAGCGGAGGGAGAAGAUGUGUUCAGGAAGCAGGACCUGGGCAGUGCUAGAAUGCACAUCAGGCCUUUCUGCACAUCAGAAGCUCCAGAUGAGUCACCCACAAUGCCAUUUUACAGUGGGCGUAUGGAACAACGCAGCAGUGGUCACGAAACAGGGCUGGAGCAUCUCUCAAGAGCUUAA